GGACUACUAGGGUAUCUAAUCCUGUUUGCUCCCCACACUUUCGAGUUUCAGUGUCAGUCAUGGUCCAGUAAGCCGUCUACACCGCAGGUGUUCCUCCUGAUAUCUACGCAUUUCACCGCUACACCAGGAAUUCCGCCUACCUCUCCCAUACUCUAGCUAGACAGUCUUCGGCGCACCCUCCCAGUUGAGCCGGGAGAUUUCACACCAAACUUAUCCAACCACCUACACUCGCUUUACGCCCAGUAAUUCCGAACAACGCUUGCUGCCUACGUAUUACCGCGGCUGCUGGCAC
rnacentral:rRNA from 1 species